UGGCGGCCAUGUUGUAUCCGCGGCGGACUGGAGGCUGUUCGGAACCGAGUCUGUCUUCAGUCAGGAGUAUACGGUGGGGCUCUCGGGCUUGAACUCGUCUGGGCUUUACACCAUUUGGGACCUACUCUCCUCGCCAUGAGCCGUCCGUCCUCUGCGGGUGGUGCGGCCGGAGGACUCGGAGCUGGUAAAGCAGGAGGAAGUAAGCAUGGAGGUUCUGGAGGAACAACCGCCUCUGCUGCAGCCGCGGCGGCAGCAGCAGUCGCCGCGGGGGUAUCCGGCUCUGUCGCGGGCUCUGUUACGGUACCCGCGGCCGCUGUAUCCCUUCCAGCCGCUGCCCUAGCAGGACAGUCAGCCGAACUGACGGCGCUGUUUGAGUGCCCGGUGUGUUUUGACUAUGUGCUGCCUCCGAUCUUGCAGUGCCAGGCUGGGCAUUUGGUGUGUAACCAAUGUCGGCAAAAGCUCAGCUGUUGUCCAACUUGUCGCGGCCCUCUCACGCCGAGCAUAAGGAACUUGGCAAUGGAAAAAGUUGCAUCUACUCUGCCGUUUCCGUGUAAGUAUGCCUCAGCUGGAUGUCUGCUGUCCCUCCACCACAGCGAGAAGCCAGAGCAUGAAGAAGUCUGUGAGUUCCGCCCGUACACCUGCCCAUGCCCCGGGGCUUCCUGUAAAUGGCAGGGCUCCCUGGAGGCCGUCAUGCCACAUCUCAUGCAUGCCCACAAAUCCAUUACCACCUUACAGGGCGAGGACAUUGUCUUUCUGGCCACGGAUAUUAAUCUACCGGGGGCUGUGGACUGGGUCAUGAUGCAGUCAUGUUUCGGGCACCACUUCAUGCUUGUUCUAGAGAAGCAGGAGAAAUACGAGGGACACCAGCAGUUCUUUGCCAUCGUGCUGCUCAUUGGCACGCGAAAGCAAGCGGAGAACUUUGCCUACCGCCUCGAGUUGAACGGCAACCGUAGGCGGCUCACAUGGGAGGCCACGCCACGCUCAAUUCAUGAUGGCGUAGCAGCGGCCAUCAUGAACAGUGACUGUCUUGUAUUUGAUACCUCUAUUGCCCACCUGUUUGCAGACAACGGCAACCUGGGUAUCAACGUUACCAUCUCUGUGUGCUGAGGUGGCAGUGUAAGGCUUUAUCCAGUGACCCAAACCUAGGACAACCCCUGCUCCCUAUCAGACUGCAGGUUCUGAAGGCAAUGGCUGGGAGAUGUAUACAUUUGUGUAUAUUUCUGUUCAAGAGUCAUACGCUAAAAUAGCUCACACUUUCCAGAUUCACUAGUGGGUUAGUAUGCUAGAUGGAUGGCAAGAGUCCUUCUCGAGAUGAAGAUGCACUGAGUGUGCAGGUGUUAGCUAUCAGUUGAAGGCAUUGGUGCAAUUGAGAAUUUCUUUUGCCCACCCCAAGGAUACAAACACCUCAACUUUCUGAUUACACCUUCGAUAAAAGGUCAGGUGUGGAUGACCACCAUCGCAGAAUCAAAAUGCUAACUUAGGAAGAGUCUAGGCAUGAAGGUGUAACAUUUGCCUCAGAAGCUUAUAAAACCUGUGUACAAAAACUGCACUGACUACUUUGGUUUUCGUCUUUGGAUAUUGAGUGAAACCAUGGAAAUAGUUCAUGGCAAUGUAAAUGGUAAAUUCACGGUUGUAUAUUGGUUUGAUAAAACAAUGCCCAUGAUGGAAAUGCGGUGUACAUGGUGGAAAUAAAAUACACUUGCAAAAAUCACUACAUAGCCACCAUGUUUGUAAGGCAAGAAUCUGACCUCUUCAUUAAAUUUUUUCCUUUCUUUAAAAAAAACAAACAAAAAAAACAUUUGCCAUCAAUGUUGCAAGACGUAAAUAAGGACAAUAAUAAAGUUUGUUAUUUUGGGGUCCUCUGUCAAAACUCAUCCAGAGGAGAGAAUUGGUUUGUGAUCAACACGGAUAUUGAUCAUAAGCUCCAUAAAAUGACAGAACUACAGCCAACCUUUUCAAAUUUUGUUACCCAUGAUCUAAUGCCACAUAUUCAUAGAUAUAUUUGUAUAUGAUUCUUGAUUUAUUUAUUUUUUAAAGGGAUAGUUGACCUAUAAAUGAUAAAUCUAUUAUUUAGUUACCCUCAUGUUUUAUAACACUUAUUUGUGGAGCACCAACGGAGAAGUUUAGUAGAAUAUCUCAGCUGUUCUCUUUCAGUACAAUGUACGUGGAUGGGACUAGGGCUUGUCAAGCUACAAAAAAAGCACCAUAAACGCAGACCAUACAACCUGU